UAGCCACCAUGAAGGUCUUCAUCCUGGCUCUCCUCGCCCUCACAGCAACCACCGCCAUUGCCCAGUUGGAAACCACAUGUAGCCAGGGCUUCGGACAAUACCAACAACAGCAACAACCUGGGCAACGACAGUUGCUGGAGCAGAUGAAGCCGUGUGUGGCAUUCCUGCAACAACAGUGUAGGCCACUGAGAAUGCCAUUCCUCCAGACACAGGUGGAGCAGCUUAGCAGCUGCCAGAUCGUGCAACACCAAUGCUGCCAGCAGCUAGCGCAGAUCCCAGAGCGAAUCCGGUGCCAUGCCAUCCACAGCGUGGUAGAGGCUAUCAUGCAACAACAAUCCCAACAACAAUGGCAGGAGCGCCAACAGCAAGCACAACAUAAGAGCAUGAGGAUGUUGCUUGAGAACCUAUCAUUGAUGUGCAACAUCUAUGUCCCGGUACAAUGCCAGCAGCAACAACAAAUGGGGCAACAACAACAACAACAACAGUUGCAGGAGCAGUUGACACCGUGUGCGACAUUCCUCCAACAUCAGUGUAGCCCAGUGACAGUGCCAUUCCCCCAGAUACCGGUGGAUCAGCCUACCAGCUGCCAGAAUGUGCAGCACCAAUGU
rnacentral:lncRNA from 1 species